UAAUUAGCUUUUCUAAAAGCUACAGCAAGUUUCUAGAAAUCUAUCU
rfam:Papilio machaon contig65056, whole genome shotgun sequence.